rnacentral:rRNA from 1 species
AGCGAACGCUGGCGGCAGGCCUAACACAUGCAAGUCGAACGAACCUUUCGGGGUUAGUGGCGGACGGGUGAGUAACACGUGGGAACGUGCCUUUAGGUUCGGAAUAACUCAGGGAAACUUGUGCUAAUACCGAAUGUGCCCUUCGGGGGAAAGAUUUAUCGCCUUUAGAGCGGCCCGCGUCUGAUUAGCUAGUUGGUUGAGGUAAUGGCUUACCAAGGCGACGAUCAGUAGCUGGUCUGAGAGGAUGAUCAGCCACAUUGGGACUGAGACACGGCCCAAACUCCUACGGGAGGCAGCAGUGGGGAAUCUUGCGCAAUGGGCGAAAGCCUGACGCAGCCAUGCCGCGUGAAUGAUGAAGGUCUUAGGAUUGUAAAAUUCUUUCACCGGGGGCGAUAAUGACGGUACCCGGAGAAGAAGCCCCGGCUAACUUCGUG